UCCCUCUUCUUCAGUGCCUUUACCUAGAGUGGAUUAGGAGUCAAAGAGAAGAAAAGUCAUGUUUGCAGGAAAAUCACAUUGCUUUAAAGAGACUUCCCCUCCUCCCCAUGACUUCUCUUCCCCUAAACCAACCCUGUAGCAUGGAGAGGUCCUGCUGAGGGCACUAGCUUCUCCUUCACGGGAAUGUUGGUGGGCCGGAACGGAGCUGUGCAGCAUCCUAUAGGAGAGCAAAAUCCUAUAGGAGGACUUGAGUGCUGGUGUGGGGGGAUGAAGCUCUGAUGGCCUCCUGCAGGCAACUGCCCAGUUUAUGGACACAAUUGAAAACAUUGGUUAUGUUACCAAGGCUUUGAUUGUAAUGUCAUAUUUGAAAGAGAUACAGACUCAGAUAUGAACAGACAGCUUUAAGGAACGAAGAUGAACCUUGUGGAGUCAAUGAAGCUCUUGGAAGUACUCAGCCUGGUACCUUGCUUAUAGUCUCCAGCAGCCUCACCAGCACUCCUUGUCUUCGGCUGUGCUCUCCAUUGUUGCUGCGGUUUGUGGCCGCAGUGCUCCUCUGUGUGUCUGGCUCAAGAGGACCCGCUGAAGAAUGACAUGAUAAGAUUGAAGGGCCAUAUGGAAACAUGGGGAAUGGAGUACGGGGACAGCACUGCCAGCUUGUAACCUCUUGUCCAGUGAUAACCAUGUGUCCGCAUGGGCCUCUCCUUUGGGCGACUUGCCUGGUUUAUGACCGAGGCUGCUCGUAACACCCCUACGAAAAUGGACUCAUUCUCUGACUCCC